rnacentral:lncRNA from 14 species
UAUCAGGCUGCUCAAGGAGCACAUGGAGAAACAGGGGAGAUUAGCCUCCUGAGAUUUUCCUGACAUAAUAUAUGCAGGCCCAAGUAAAAGUGUCUGUGCUCAGAUUUAUGUAAAUGAAUUUAUGUUAAUUGGAUUAGUUGAAAUGUAGCAUCUGGAAUGAAUUCCCUGUUCUUUUGUGAUGAGACCUCCUGCAAAUAACGUUUGCCAGUUUAUUUUUAUAGAAAGAUCUUAGAAGGUACCUAAUAGAUACUGUGCCUCAUGGCUUUAGAUUUACAGCACUUUCAAGUCAGUGGUGGGAAGUCUGUAUUAAGAGUUGGGCAGGUGAAUACUAUACUUGUAGUUUUAGACAAGAGGCUGUCAAUGCUUUUGUAUCUGCGACUUAGUGCAGAGGAAAGUCUGUGUAAAAAUAUCUCAGAAUAAAAAUAUUUAACUACAAAAAAUAGAAAAAAUAAAGUCUUUAAACUUAGAGUCUAUAUGGUAGUUAGUGAAAUUUCACCAAUCACCUGCUUGAGUUGUCCCCCUCCCCCAUGGAAUGGAACUGAAUAUGGUGAUACAUUAAUGGCUUCAGCUUUUCAGCUUUGCUCGCAGCUCUGUGAAUGGUGGAAAAUAUCCUAAGCAUCUGUACAUAGGCAUAUCACAUACUUGCUACUGAUUCAAACCUAGCAGUGAUACAGACUGUGUGGAACCGAUGCCUUUUGGGAGACAGUCUGUGACCCUGUCGAAUGACAGAGGAAAUAAGGCUCCCUCAAGUGAUGUUGCUGAAUUACAUCUUGACGAGAGGAAUGGAAGACGUCUUACCAUGCUACAACAGGAGAAUGAACAUUAUUCCUACUAAUGUGCUUGUUACUUAUUUACUUGUUACUGUUGCUUUAAAUAUUAUCUACUGAUGUUGUUAUUUCUCUCCCCUGAUUUAAUGUUUAGCUAUGUAUUCUAUACUGAAGAGAGGAGAGGCCAAAGGGAAAGGGAUAUGUGGUAUCAGGGGUAUAGAAGUAGUAGUAGAUUAGUACAUAUAUAUAUAUAUAUAUAUUUACGUAAAUGUAUACUAAAUAAAACUAUUUGUUCAGAGCA